CUGGUGUGUGCAAUGACUGCAAACAGCAGUGUCCUUGCUGGUGUUUGCAGCCUGUUGCUUGUAUAGGUUGCACUAAGGGACCUUGGAGACAUUC
rnacentral:snoRNA from 1 species